rnacentral:RNase_P_RNA from 1 species
GAGGUCGGGCGUGGUGAUCGCGGGGGCCAUUGGCCUCCGAGGAAAGUCCGAGCUCCACAGGGAAGACUGCCAGGUAACGCCUGGGCGCCGAGAGGCGACGGACAGGGCCACAGAGAACAGACCGCCGGUCAGGGCCGCGCGAGCGGCGAUGGCAGGCAAGGGUGAAACGGUGGGGUAAGAGCCCACCGCGGCGCUGGCAACAGCGACGGCACGGCAACCCCCAGUCGGAGCAAGGCCAAAUAGGCGGCGAGGUGCGUCCCGCACCGACCCCACCGCGCGAGCGGUGAGCCGCGGGUAGGCUGCUCGAGGCGGCCGGUGACGGCCGUCCCAGACAGAUGAUCGCCCCGCACGCGCGAGCGUGCGGAACAAGACUCGGCUUACGGCCUGGCCUCGUCC